CACGUAGGGGGCGAGCGUUGUCCGGAUUUAUUGGGCGUAAAGAGCUCGUAGGCGGCUCAGUAAGUCGGGUGUGAAAACUCCAGGCUCAACCUGGAGACGCCACCUGAUACUGCUGUGGCUAGAGUCCGGUAGGGGAGCAUGGAAUUCCUGGUGUAGCGGUGAAAUGCGCAGAUAUCAGGAGGAACACCAGUGGCGAAGGCGGUGCUCUGGGCCGGAACUGACGCUGAGGAGCGAAAGCGCGGGGAGCAAACAGGAUUAGAU
rnacentral:rRNA from 1 species